AUGAAAUCAACAGGUUCUGACUGUCUUUCUUCAUGUGUGGUAGGUGGCGUCAUCACAGGUGUUUUCUCUUCUGGUGCUUGUAACUCAAUUUCUGUUGUGCAUUCAGUUUCAAGAGCCUCUGUUGUCAUUAAUAUCUGUUGUCUGCUUGAAAUUAAAUCUUCUGCAUAUUUUAUGGAAGUGGUUGGUGUUGCUGGUUCAGUUGUACCUUUUGACUCAUUAUUUUCUGAAAUGAAAUCAACAGGUUCUGACUGUAUUUCUUCAUGUGUGGUAUCUGUUCUCUUCACAGGUGUUUUCUCUUCUGGUGUUUGUAACUCAAUUUCUGUUGUACAUUCAGUUUCAAGAGCCUCUGUUGUCAUUAAUGUCUCUUGUCUGGCUGAAAUGAAAUCUUCUGCAUAUUUUAUGGAAGUGGUUGGUGUAAGUGGUUCAUUUGUUCCUUUUGACUCAUUAUUUUCUGAAAUGAAAUCAACAGGUUCUGACUGUCUUUCUUCAUGUGUGGUAUCUGUUCUCUCCACAGGUGUUUUAUCUUCUGGUGUUUGCAACUCAAUUUCUGUUGUACAUUCAGUUUCAAGAGCCUCUGUUGUCAUUAAUGUCUCUUGUCUGGGUGAAAUGAAAUCUUCUGCAUAUUUUAUUGAAGUGGUUGGUGUUGCUGGUUCAAUUGUACCUUUUGACUCAGUAUUUUCUGACAGUUUUUCGUCAUGUGUGGUAUCUGUUCUCUCCACAGGUGUUUUCUCUUCUGGUGUUUGUACUUCAAUUUCUGUUGUACAUUCAGUUUCAAGAGCCUCUGUUUUCAUUAAUGUCUCUUGUCUGCUUGAAAUUAAAUCUUCUGCAUAUUUUAUGGAAGUGGUUUGUGUAAGUGGUUCAUUUGUUCCUUUUGACUCAUUAUUUUCUGAAAUGAAAUCAACAGGUUCUGACUUUCUUUCUUCAUGUGUGGUACCUGUUUUCAUCACAGGUGUUUUAUCUUCUGGUGCUUGUAACUCAAUUUCUGUUGUGCAUUCAGUUUCAAAAGUCUCUGUUGUGAUUAAUGUCUCUUGUCCGGUUGAAAUGGAAUCUUCUGCAUAUUUUAUGGAAGUGGUUGGUGUUGCUGGUUCAGUUGUACUUUUUGUUAGAUGUUCUGAAAGUAAACCAUUAUAUUCUGACUGUCUUUCUUCAAAUGUGGUAGCUUUCGUCAACACAGGUGUUUUAUCUUCUGGUGUUUGUAACUCAAUUUCUGUUGUGCAUUCAGUUUCAAGAGUCUCUGUUGUCAUUAAUGUCUCUUGUCUGCUUAAAAUGAAUUCCUCUGCAUAUUUUAUGGAAGUGGUUGGUGUUGGUGGUUCAAUUGUACCUUUUGACUUAAUAUUUUCUGAAAUGAAAUCAAAAGGUUCUGACUGUCUUUCUUCAUAUGUGGUAGCUGUCGUCAUCACAGGUGUUUUCUCUUCUGGUGCUUGUAACUCUAUUUCUGUUGUACAUUCUGUUUCACGAGUCUCUGUUGUCAAUAAUGCCUCUUCUCUGUUCAUUGUGAAAUCUCCUGCAUAUUUUGUGGACAUGGCUGGUGUUGCACGUGCAAUUGUACCUUUUGACUCAAUAUUUUCUGAAAUGAAAUCAACAGAUUCUGACUGUCUUUCUUCAUGUGUGGUAUCUGUUCUCUCCACAGGUGUUUUCUCGUCUGGUGCUUGUAACUCAAUUUCUGUUGUGCAUUCAGUUUCAAAAGCCUUUGUUGUUAUUAAUGUCUCUUUUCUGGUUGAAAUGAACUCUUCUGCAUAUUUUAUGGAAGUGGUUGGUGUUUCUGGUUCAGUUGUACCUUUUGACUUAAUAUUUUCUGAAAUGAAAUCAACAGGUUCUGACUGUCUUUCUUCAUGUGUGGUAGCUGUUGUCAUCACAGGUGUUUUAUCUUCUGUUGUUUUCAACUCUAUUUCUGUUGUACACUCAGUUUUAAGAACCUCUGUUGUCAUUAAUGUCUCUUGUCUGGUCGCUGUAAAGUCAUCUGCAAUUUUUUUGAAUGUUUUUGGUGUCACUGGUUCAUUUGUUCCUUCUGUCUCGAGAUGUUGUGUAUUUAAAUUAACAGGCUCUGACUGACUUUCUUUGUAUAUGGUAUCCAUUCUCUCCACAGGUUUUUUAUCUUCAAGUGUUUGUAACUCAAUUUCGGUUGUGCAUUCUGUUUCAGGAAACUCUGUUGUCAUUCCAGUCUCUUUUUCUGUCAGCAUGGCAGUAUGUUUAUUUCCUCUGAAUGUGUUUGUUGUUACUGGUUUAUUUGUUCGGGAUUCUUUUGUCAUUAAAAUGUCAGGUUGACUUGUAACCAAGAUCAACUUCUCCAUUGCUGUCCAGUCCUCUCUUUGCGCAGAGUAUUCUUUCUCAUCCUUGUGUUUUACAUCAGAUACACUGUUUUCUUUUUCCAAUGUUGCUCUUGCCAUCGUUAAUCUAAUUCCACUGAAGCUUGUCUGGUGUUUUUGACCAAAUUUUGUGGUUUCCUGAACCGUUCCCACUGUUGGCCUGAUUUCUUUGCCCCCUGAAGAUAUUUUCUUCUCACUUCCUUCAUUUUCUCCUGAUGGCCUCUCCAGUUCUGUUGUGCAGUCUGUUUCAGUCGGCACUGUUGUAAUUCCCAUCUGUUGUUUUGUUAGUGUGAUAGUAUUUGUAUAUUUUCUGGAGGUGGCCAGAUUUUCUAAUUCACUUGUAUUCAUUUCAAGAUGUUCUGUACUCAACAGAAGAUCUUUAGUGCUUUCUGUCUCGAAGCUCUCUGUUAUGCUUGAUUCUUUUGUUUUAUCUUCUGCAUUAUGUGGUUUUAAAACCGUUUGACUGAAUGACAUGGCUGAAGUCUUCUUGUCUUCACCUUCAUUCGAGUCAUCAUCUUUUAAGACAAUCGUUGGCCUUGGUUUCCAUAUGCUUCUUCUUUGCCUAAACAUUUUCACUGGAAUUUGGUUUCUGUGUUUUGAGGCCUUUGUUUGUAUCUUGUCUGUCGCUAAUGUCUCAGUCUCUGCUGUAACUAUGCUGUCCUUUGCUGUCAUUUGGAAAAGUCCCAUUCCUAAUAACAUCAGUAUUUUUUCCAUGUGGACGACAGCAUCGUUACUAGAAUUGGAUGCAAAUUUCAUAGCACUUUCUGUUAACUCAUUUAUUUCGAUUUCGUCUCCUUGGUGUGGUUGUGAAUAUCUUGUAGCCUGGUAUAUGGGACAGAUGGUUGAACCCUUUUGAUUAAUAAAUAUUCUUAACCGUAUGGCUGAUGGGAAGGUAUUCCUUAGCAUCUUAGCUAGAUCUGAUACGUGUUUCCAUAAACUCCAUUCAGGGGCGCCUUCAAAAGCUUUCCCUGGAAAUCCGUCUGCGGUUUGACCAGAAUGGUGGUCACUAGUGCAGUGAGAAGGUUUUUCUUUUGGUUGCUUGUCAAGUUUUGUGACCGUUUUUCUUUUAACAUGGAAUACACCAAUUAUAAGACAUGUUUUUGAAGUGAUGCCUUGUUUAGAUGAAUGCAUCUUCCCUCUUAGUAAGCUCCUAAUAAGCUGUCA
ensembl:lncRNA